AAGGGAAGAGAGGAGAAGAGGCAAGGCAAGGAGCUGUUGCAAGUAGUGUCAUAGAAAAUUCGAAAUGUUUCAAUCAACAAUUCGCAUUAUUAAAUAUUAAUGGGAAACUCGAGUCGAGCUGCCUCGGACUGACCCUUUCGACCAUGCCGGCCCCAAAAAGGUCAUCAUGUGUCUGCCGCAGCAGUCCAGAAGGUCCAGAAGCUGGCAAAAGUAAUUUUGGACAUUUUUCAUCAUAAAGACAGCAUCGACUCAACCCUCUCUGUCUCUUUCUCUGUCUCUGUCUGUGUCUCUGUCUCUGUCCCCGUCCUGAGAGCCACUUCUUUGGCGGAGCUUAGAUUUCGAAUUGGAUUUGAAUUGGGAAUUUCUGGCAUUCAAGGGCCGUCGGUCUUCGGCUGAGAACAGAGUUGGUCAAGUUGGUCAACGCAUAAAUAUUUCUCUUUGUUCAAGCAUCGCAUCAGAGCCAAAAAAGAGCAUUACGGACUCGUCCGACUCGUGCAUACACGUAUGGUGUGUGUGCACCUGUGCCAUCCGUCUCUCUCUGUCUGUCUGUCCUCCGACAGGACUACAGCACAAACAAUCAAGGAGACGGGCUGGGUAGUGGAUGGCCAGAUAUGAGAAACGGUCGAAUGGUCAAGUCAAAGUUAUUGUCAUGUCAUGCCGUGCCAUCCAAAAGGGUUCCAUUCCUGCCUUGCCGGAUGAAUCCCUGCCACGUUGCGUGACGAAAGAGCGUCGUAGAUGAAGACAGGUCGUGGCUACAUCCUGAAAGUCUUUUGUUCAUUUUGGUGCUUGUAUAGACAGUACUUAUCCCGUGCUCUCUCUCUCUCUCUCUCUACAGAAGCUGUUCGUCAGGCAAGGUACCACAAAUGGAGGUCUUCCAGGACAAGGCUAAUCAUGCUCAUGACAUGUAUUUUGUGCAAAUCUGAUGAAAGAAAGAAUAGCGUUGGAAGGGUGUUACCCUUACAGAUACAACGCUCGUAAUGCGUUGAAAUAUGGUAUACAUGGGGUAUACAAAACUCCUUGAUUGCAUUAAAUCUCAUAUGUAUAACCCAUACAUACAUAAUUCUUCGCAUCUUCCCGUACACCCAAAAGAGAUAAAAAGAGAUUGUUUCCCAUAUCCCGUAUCCCACAUUGACAACAAAAGAUUGUUUCUUUGCGAAAAGUGUGAGAACCCCCAACCCCACCCACAACCUAACUUCCUGCUCAAAUUUCGGUAUCUAAAAUGGGGAAAAAAACCCGCAAGUAUUGAACACAAAACGUAGAGAAAUCGAAUAAGGAAAUGGAACCCUUUGGCCGUGUCCAUUUGGGUUGAGUCUUCUAUAAAUUAUUUCGCAGAUAAAACAUAUACUCUUAUGGGUGGGACCCCCAUCCCCCAUCCCCCAUCCAUCCAAGCCACCAAGCCACCCCCCGCCUACACCUUUUGCAAUCUGAGUAAAGGCCGGCGCUCCCCAGCGACAUUUUCUGACCAUCGGAACUGACAGAAUUGAAAAAUAAGCGACGCUCGACCAUCUGCCUGGGGCGACAGCUGGGUGGGGGUAGAGAAGGAGGAGGAGGGAGAGAGGAUGCCGAAGGUGAAAAAUAAAAAAUGGCGUCCAGUCGAGUGCUCAACCUCAAGAUUUAUAACAAAAGGCGAAAAAAAUCGAAUAUAAAAGCUCCUGUCGAUUACUUGGACACCCUCUAUAAAGAUUCUUCUGGUUUCCAGGAUUACAUAUACAUUGGAAAAAGUUCGUAUUAUUAAGAAACCUUGGGAGUAUUUCUAUAAACAAUAGAAGCAGAAAA